UUCAGGCAUAAACUCUGUCGCGAACAAUUGACGUCGAUAACUAAAAGUCGUCUUUGUGUACAUUGUUUACACAGAGUUACACGUUACACCGUUGUUCAGUUUCUACGACCAGCCGUCUGGAUUGCUUGGCAUCAUUGGUACCGGCUUCAGUCGAACUGCAAAUGGCGGGCCAUACGAAAAAAGUUUUCUGUUUUCGGUUUAUAACUGUCAUAUUAUUAAUCAAUGAUUUAUUGAAAGUAAUUCACUUUAUACCGUGUAUGGAGAGUGCUGACGCUGCCAAAAACUGGGAGGUGGAGGUCGUGCCUGGUGCUUCCGGUUACGUCCCGGCCAGAUUGGAUCCAGAUUGAUUACCCCCUGAUUGGAAGGACGUGUCGGGAGCGGCGAAGAUUGUACAAGGAAUUGCUCAAGCAGGCCUUGAUUCGUGAGCACCUGCAGUGGGGGAGACGCCCGCUGCGUUCCCGACUGAUCAAGUAGGCACCGAUGCCCAGGAAAUACAAAAAUACUUGGCUGGAGACUUAAUGGAUUCACCACGUUCCCCCCCAUCUUCUUUCCCCUUAGUCUCGGAAAGCAAGCAGUUUAUGUCGCCGCUGGGCCUCCAUGAAGUAGUCAGCCACUUAUGCUAUUUCUUAAACCACAUUGCAGUUCCUUUAGUGAAUGAACAGUGAAAGGCAGCAAUAAAUAUUCUGUUUCUGUGAACAUCAAA